rnacentral:rRNA from 1 species
GUGGGGAAUAUUGGACAAUGGGGGGAACCCUGAUCCAGCCAUGCCGCGUGUGUGAAGAAGGCCUUUUGGUUGUAAAGCACUUUAAGCGAGGAGGAGGCUCUUCUAGUUAAUACCUAGGAUGAGUGGACGUUACUCGCAGAAUAAGCACCGGCUAACUCUGUGCCAGCAGCCGCGGUAAUACAGAGGGUGCAAGCGUUAAUCGGAUUUACUGGGCGUAAAGGGUACGUAGGUGGUCUAUUAAGUCGGAUGUGAAAUCCCUGAGCUUAACUUAGGAAUUGCAUUCGAUACUGAGAGACUAGAGUAUGGGAGAGGAUGGUAGAAUUCCAGGUGUAGCGGUGAAAUGCGUAGAGAUCUGGAGGAAUACCGAUGGCGAAGGCAGCCAUCUGGCCUAAUACUGACACUGAGGUACGAAAGCAUGGGGAGCAAACAGGAUUAGAUACCCUGGUAGUCC